UACGAAGGGUGCAAGCGUUAGUCGGAAUUACUGGGCGUAAAGCGCGUGUAGGCGGCUUCGUAAGUCCGUUGUGAAAGUCCAGGGCUCAACCCUGGAAGGCCGGUGGAAACUGUCGGACUAGAGUCCGGAAGAGGCGAGUGGAAUUCCCGGUGUAGCGGUGAAAUGCGCAGAUAUCGGGAGGAACACCAAUGGCGAAGGCAGCUCGCUGGGACGGUACUGACGCUGAGGCGCGAAAGCGUGGGGAGCAAACAGG
rnacentral:rRNA from 1 species